CAAAAGAAAUUAUGAGUCUGCGAAAUAAAUAUAGUGGCAUACUUCUAAACCAGAUCCCGAAUUAUUCGCAAUCAAUGCAGCACAAUAACGUCGCAAUCUGCCACCAGUCACUGAUGUCGCAUCACGAGUAACACAGUCACCGAUCUAAUGUAACGAAAGUAGUUCAUGUGAGGAAUUCGCGGCAAGGCUUUUCAGAUUUGAAACAAGUAUAGGAGAACCCCAAGGAAGAUACUACCAAUAAUAAAAAGUUAUAAACAUUGUACGUGCUGAGUUGAAGAUUCGAGAGAACAUUCUUCGCUUAAAACAGCUCCGAAAUUCGUGGAAGCUUCUUUAAUGGAACACUACAUAGAGUUUUUAUUUAGCAAAAACAAUAAAAUAUGUUUUUUUUGAAUUUUUUCAUUUUUUAAUAUUCUCACCAGUCCCCAAGUUAAACAUUCAUGAUAUCCACAUUGUGUAAAUUCAUCACGAAGGCGUUCUUACAUUAUUAAAACGGAAAAAAUCGCAAAUCCGAAACGCAGGUGUAUGAAUGCUGAGAAAUACUGUAAAAAUCCAUUUUAAGAGUAUCGUGAUCUUUUUGAUUUUCACUAAAUCACAAGGGUGUAAAAUAUCAGAUCUUGUCACCGGAAUAAUUGCCUUUAUUUUUUCAUUUUCUAUUGGUUGUGCUUUAAUCAUCAUUUUCUUUAAAAGAUUGCAUAUGGAAAUGGCUGUGAGAUUCGGAAUACCAGUGAUCUCUUUGAUAUAGUCGGUUGUCGUCUCUAUAACGUUCCUACAGUAUAAGAACCAAAUAACAUAUUGUUGGGAAACAAGUAACUUGUGAAAUCAGACAAAGUCACUAAAUGCGUUGGAUAAACAAUGAGGCACUAACUGUCAAGAUUACUUAGUUUUAAACUAAAGAUUUUUAACUUGUUACUGGUGAAAAACCUACGUUUUAAAAAUUGGAUUAACAAAUUUUUUGUUCGGUAAUAAAGAAUGAUUUUCAUCGUAACAGACUUGAACGGGCUCUAUACUAAAAAACAAAACCGUUUGACUUGAAAUUUAUUUAACGCAGUCUACCUGAAUGGUGUAGAACAAUAUUCAGAAAAUGCUGUUAGUAACGUAUUUAAAACUGUGGAACCCUUGAAAGCAUCAAGUGCUGUGACUUCAAUAAAAACAUUACGCGUAGUAAUUGUUAUUUUGGAAUGCUUGCUGUUAAUGAUGGGAGGCAAAGAUAGCACCGUGCCGUUCGCAUCUCGAAUAACAGGAUAAACAGGUGAAUCAAUUAUCAGAGGUAGAUAAGUUUUCAGUUGAGCGUGUGUCUAAGCAAAAGGAACAUGAAUUUGAAAAUAAAAAGGAUUUCGGUUUUGAAGCGUUUUUUUCUUUUCUUUUCUUUUCUUAAACAUUUUCGAUUAGACACUAAAACGCUACCGAUAAAGUUUCCAUAAUUUCAGGGCCAUUUAAUGGCUUUGAUUCAUAAAGAGGAACAAACUGAAUGUCGUUAGGUGCUUGUGCUUCAUACACAAAUGGUCCCACAACUGUAUCCAAGUCAUGCGUUCCGAUAG